rnacentral:rRNA from 1 species
UACGUAGGGACCAAGCGUUGUUCGGAUUUACUGGGCGUAAAGGGCGCGUAGGCGGCUUGACAAGUCACUUGUGAAAUCUCCGGGCUUAACUCGGAACGGCCAAGUGAAACUGUCAUGCUAGAGUGCAGAAGGGGCAAUCGGAAUUCUUGGUGUAGCGGUGAAAUGCGUAGAGAUGUGGAGGAACACCGAUGGCGAAGGCAGCCUUCUGGGCCAACACUGACGCUCAUGCACGAAAGCGUGGGGAGCAAACAGG